rnacentral:rRNA from 1 species
GAAAGAUGAUCAGGUAGAUAGGUUUGGAGUGGAAGUGUAGCGAUACAUGGAGCGGACAAAUACUAAUCGAUCGAGGACUUAACCAAAA